rnacentral:tRNA from 1 species
AAGAAAGUAUGCAAGAGCUGCUAACUCAUGUCUCCGUACUUAAACAUGCGGCUUUCUUA